rnacentral:rRNA from 1 species
GAUGAACGCUGGCGGCGUGCCUAAUACAUGCAAGUCGAGCGAACAGAUAAGGAGCUUGCUCCUUUGACGUUAGCGGCGGACGGGUGAGUAACACGUGGAUAACCUACCUAUAAGACUGGGAUAACUUCGGGAAACCGGAGCUAAUACCGGAUAACAUAUUGAACCGCAUGGUUCAGUAGUGAAAGGCGGCUUUGCUGUCACUUAUAGAUGGAUCCGCGCCGUAUUAGCUAGUUGGUAAGGUAACGGCUUACCAAGGCAACGAUACGUAGCCGACCUGAGAGGGUGAUCGGCCACACUGGAACUUAGCCACGGUCCAGACUCCUACGGGAGGCAGCAGUAGGGAAUCUUCCGCAAUGGGCGAAAGCCUGACGGAGCAACGCCGCGUGAGUGAUGAAGGUCUUCGGAUCGUAAAACUCUGUUAUCAGGGAAGAACAAAUGUGUAAGUAACUGUGCACAUCUUGACGGUACCUGAUCAGAAAGCCACGGCUAACUACGUG